AUUGAACGCUGGCGGCAGGCUUAACACAUGCAAGUCGAACGGCAGCACGGGUGCUUGCACCUGGUGGCGAGUGGCGAACGGGUGAGUAAUACAUCGGAACGUACCUUAUCGUGGGGGAUAACGCAGCGAAAGCUGUGCUAAUACCGCAUACGCCCUGAGGGGGAAAGCGGGGGAUCGAAAGACCUCGCGCGAUUAGAGCGGCCGAUGCCUGAUUAGCUUGUUGGUGGGGUAAAAGCCCACCAAGGCGACGAUCAGUAGCUGGUCUGAGAGGAAGAUCAGCCAAACUGGGACUGAGAAACGGACCAGACUCCUACGGGAAGCAGCAGUGGGGAAUUUUGGCAAAUGGGGGCAACCCUGAUCCAGCAAUGCCGCGUGAGUGAAGAAGGCCUUCGGGUUGUAAAGCUCUUUUGUCAGGGAAGAAACACCGGCUCUAACACAGUCCGGGAAUGACGGUACCUGAAGAAUAAGCACCGGCUAACUACGUGCCAGCAGCCGCCGUAA
rnacentral:rRNA from 1 species